CGAUUCCGGAGAGGGAGCCUGAGAAACGGCUACCACAUCUAAGGAAGGCAGCAGGCGCGCAAAUUACCCAAUCCUAAUACAGGGAGGUAGUGACAAGAAAUAACAAUACAGGACUUUUAAAUAGUUUUGUAAUUGGAAUGAGUUAAGUAUAAACCCCUUUACAAGUAUCAAUUGGAGGGCAAGUCUGGUGCCAGCAGCCGCGGUAAUUCCAGCUCCAAUAGCGUAUAUUAAAGUUGUUGCAGUUAAAAAGCUCGUAGUUGGAUUUCUGUUAAUAAUUUAUAUAUAAUAUUUUAAUAUAUUUAUAUAAUAUUAACAUAAUUCAUAUUACUAUAAUUAUUUUUAGUAUAUGAAAUUUUACUUUGAGAAAAUUAGAGUGCUUAAAGCAGGCAUAAUUGCCUUGAAUACUACAGCAUGGAAUAAUAUUAAAGAUUUUUAUCUUUCUUUUUUAUUGGUUCUAAGAUAAAAAUAAUGAUUAAUAGGG
rnacentral:rRNA from 1 species